rnacentral:tRNA from 1 species
GGAGAGGUGGUCGAGCUGGUUUAAGGCACCGGUCUUGAAAACCGGCGUAGGGGUGACUCUACCGUGGGUCUCGAAUCCCACCCUCUCCGCCA